AACGAACGCUGGCGGCAUGCCUAAUACAUGCAAGUCGAACGAGAUCUUCGGAUCUAGUGGCGCACGGGUGCGUAACGCGUGGGAAUCUGCCCUUGGGUUCGGAAUAACUUCUGGAAACGGAAGCUAAUACCGGAUGAUGACGUAAGUCCAAAGAUUUAUCGCCCAAGGAUGAGCCCGCGUAGGAUUAGGUAGUUGGUGAGGUAAAGGCUCACCAAGCCGACGAUCCUUAGCUGGUCUGAGAGGAUGAUCAGCCACACUGGGACUGAGACACGGCCCAGACUCCUACGGGAGGCAGCAGUAGGGAAUAUUGGACAAUGGGCGAAAGCCUGAUCCAGCAAUGCCGCGUGAGUGAUGAAGGCCUUAGGGUUGUAAAGCUCUUUUACCCGGGAUGAUAAUGACAGUACCGGGAGAAUAAGCUCCGGCUAACUCCGU
rnacentral:rRNA from 1 species